UGUUGUUGUGACAGGCGCAUCAUUGCUACGUCUGUCAAAAUGUGUCGUCACGUAAACGUCAUCACUUUUUACGUUUUGCUUUCGUGUACAGCCAAUGUUGGUAUAAAAUGGGUUUUCAAGGCACAUGUAUUUCUAUGUUACCGGACGGUCACGCGGAUCUAGUAAAGAUUUUACGGGAAGAGGGUACAAAGGUGAUAUUCGUGUAAGAUCGUUGUAUGGAAACUUCGGUAGGACAGUGAAGUCUGCUCGCCGUAAAUAAUGAAUUGAGCUCGUGCCCGCUUCUGCGCGCUCCUCAUUCAUCUCGGUGCGCGCGAGAGGAGACAGCAGUAGCAGCAGACGGCCCACGCUGAGUGUGUGUCUUGCUGACACAACAACAUUAGCUUGCACUCGAAUCAGACACAUUUAAGAUACAGCUGGAUUAUCAGACAUUUGUUGUUUUGGAAGUCCCGAGACAUCAGCGUCUGUCUUCUGUGAGCAGGUGCUGGAGAGGACCGGAAGUAACUGUUGACAGUUUUGGUGCAGUGAGGCGCAGCGGAGGGGGCAGAGAGGCGAGCGCAUGAGGAGAGGGCGUCCAAAGAC